rnacentral:rRNA from 1 species
UACAGAGGUCCCAAGCGUUGUUCGGAUUCACUGGGCGUAAAGGGUGCGUAGGCGGUCGGGUAAGUCUGAUGUGAAAUCUCACAGCUUAACUGUGAAACUGCAUUGGAUACUAUUCGGCUUGAGAGUUGGAGGGGGGACUGGAAUUCUUGGUGUAGCAGUGAAAUGCGUAGAUAUCAAGAGGAACACCAGUGGCGAAGGCGGGUCUCUGGACAGUUCCUGACGCUGAGGCACGAAGGUCAGGGGAGCAAACGGG